rnacentral:tRNA from 1 species
AUUCAGAUAGCUUAAUUUAAAGUGUGGUAUUGAAGAUACUAAGAUAAUAUUUAUUUUCUGGAU